rnacentral:rRNA from 1 species
AACGAACGCUGGCGGCAUGCCUAACACAUGCAAGUCGAACGAGACCUUCGGGUCUAGUUGCGCACGGGUGCGUAACGCGUGGGAACCUGCCCGUAGGUUCGGAAUAACUCCCCGAAAGGGGUGCUAAUACCGGAUAACGUCUUCGGACCAAAGAUUUAUCGCCUUUGGAUGGGCCCGCGUUGGAUUAGCUAGUUGGUAGGGUAAAAGCCUACCAAGGCGACGAUCGAUAGCUGGUCUGAGAGGAUGAUCAGCCACACUGGGACUGGGACACGGCCCAGACUCCUACGGGAGGCAGCAGUGUGGAAUAUUGGACAAUGGGCGAAAGCCUGAUCCAGCAAUGCCGCGUGAGUGAUGAAGGCCUUAGGGUUGUAAAGCUCUUUUACCCGGGAUGAUAAUGACAGUACCGGGAGAAUAAGCUCCGGCUAACUCCGUG